AACGAACGCUGGCGGCAUGCCUAACACAUGCAAGUCGAACGAGACCUUCGGGUCUAGUGGCGCAUGGGUGUGUAACGCGUGGGAACCUGCCCUUAGGUUUGGAAUAACUCCCCGAAAGGGGUGCUUAUACCGGAUAAUGUCUUCGGACCAAAGAUUUAUCGCCUUUGGUUGGGCCCGCGUUGGAUUAGCUAGUUGGUAGGGUAAAAGCCUACCAAGGCGACGAUCCAUAGCUGGUUUGAGAGGAUGAUCAGCCACACUGGGACUGAGACACGGCCCAGACUCCUACGGGAGGCAGCAGUGGGGAAUAUUGGACAAUGGGCGAAAGCCUGAUCCAGCAAUGCCGCGUGAGUGAUGAAGGCCUUAGGGUUGUAAAGCUCUUUUACCCGGGAUGAUAAUGACAGUACCGGGAGAAUAAGCUCCGGCUAACUCCGUG
rnacentral:rRNA from 1 species